AGAGUUUGAUCCUGGCUCAGGAUGAACGCCGGCGGUGUGCCUAAUACAUGCAAGUCGUACGCACUGGCCCAACUGAUUGAUGGUGCUUGCACCUGAUUGACGUUGGAUCACCAGUGAGUGGCGGACGGGUGAGUAACACGUAGGUAACCUGCCCCGGAGCGGGGGAUAACAUUUGGAAACAGAUGCUAAUACCGCAUAACAACAAAAGCCGCAUGGCUUUUGUUUGAAAGAUGGCUUUGGCUAUAACUCUGGGAUGGACCUGCGGUGCAUUAGCUAGUUGGUAAGGUAACGGCUUACCAAGGCGAUGAUGCAUAGCCGAGUUGAGAGACUGAUCGGCCACAAUGGAACUGAGACACGGUCCAUACUCCUACGGGAGGCAGCAGUAGGGAAUCUUCCACAAUGGGCGCAAGCCUGAUGGAGCAACACCGCGUGAGUGAAGAAGGGUUUCGGCUCGUAAAGCUCUGUUGUUGGAGAAGAACGUGCGUGAGAGUAACUGUUUACGCAGUGACGGUAUCCAACCAGAAAGUCACGGCUAACUACGUGCCAGCAGCCGCGGUAAUACGUAGGUGGCAAGCGUUAUCCGGAUUUAUUGGGCGUAAAGCGAGCGCAGGCGGUUGCUUAGGUCUGAUGUGAAAGCCUUCGGCUUAACCGAAGAAGUGCAUCGGAAACCGGGCGACUUGAGUGCAGAAGAGGACAGUGGAACUCCAUGUGUAGCGGUGGAAUGCGUAGAUAUAUGGAAGAACACCAGUGGCGAAGGCGGCUGUCUGGUCUGCAACUGACGCUGAGGCUCGAAAGCAUGGGUAGCGAACAGAAGUAGAUACCCUGGUAGUCCAUGCCGUAAACG
rnacentral:rRNA from 1 species